rnacentral:tRNA from 1 species
GGGGAUGUAGCUCAGUUGGGAGAGCGCUUGCAUGGCAUGCAAGAGGCCGCCGGUUCGAUCCCGGCCAUCUCCA